rnacentral:rRNA from 1 species
CCUACGGGGGACAGCAGUAGGGAAUUUUGCGCAAUGGGCGAAAGCCUGACGCAGCAACGCCGCGUGAGUGAUUAAGGCCUUCGGGGUGUAAAGAUCUGUCAGUGGGGACGAAACUUGACGGUACCCACAGAGGAAGCAUUGGCUAAAUCUGCGCCAGCAGCCGCGGUUAUCCGGAGGGGGGAAGCGUUGUCCGGAAUCAGUGGGCGUAAAGUGUUCGUAGGUGGUAUAGUAAGUCUGAUGUUAAAUGCAGAAGCUCAACUUCUGUUCGGCACUGGAUACUGGUAAGCUUGAGUGCAGUAGAGGUAAAUGGAAUUCCAGGUGUAGCGGUGAAAUGCGUAGAUAUCAGGAGGAACAUCGGUGGCGAAGGCGCUUUACUGGGCCGUAAUUGACGCUGAGGAACGAAAGCCUGGGUAGCAAAUGGGAUUAGAUACCCUUGUAGUC